rnacentral:rRNA from 1 species
UACGUAGGGUGCGAGCGUUGCCCGGAUUUAUUGGGCGUAAAGGGCGCGCAGGCGGCCACGCGCGUCCGUUGUGAAAUCGCUCGGCUCAACUGGGCGAGGUCGGCGGAUACGGCGUGGCUGGAGCAAGCUAGGGGGCAAUGGAAUUCCCGGUGUAGUGGUGGAAUGCGUAGAUAUCGGGAGGAACACCAGUGGCGAAGGCGGUUGCCUGGAGCUUUGCUGACGCUGAGGCGCGAAAGCGUGGGGAGCAAACAGG